UACGGAGGGUGCAAGCGUUAUCCGGAUUCACUGGGUUUAAAGGGUGCGUAGGUGGGCAGGUAAGUCAGUGGUGAAAUCUCCGAGCUUAACUCGGAAACUGCCGUUGAUACUAUUUGUCUUGAAUAUUGUGGAGGUAAGCGGAAUAUGUCAUGUAGCGGUGAAAUGCUUAGAUAUGACAUAGAACACCAAUUGCGAAGGCAGCUUACUACACAACGAUUGACGCUGAGGCACGAAAGCGUGGGGAUCAAAACAGG
rnacentral:rRNA from 1 species